GACGAACGUUGGCGGCGUGCUUAACACAUGCAAGUCGAGCGGUAAGGCCCUUUCGGGGGUACACGAGCGGCGAACGGGUGAGUAACACGUGGGUGACCUGCCCUCAGCUCUGGGAUAAGCCUGGGAAACCGGGUCUAAUACCGGAUAUGACUCCAUGACGCAUGUUGUGGGGUGGAAAGCCUUGUGCGGCUGAGGAUGGGCCCGCGGCCUAUCAGCUUGUUGGUGGGGUGAUGGCCACCAAGGCGACGACGGGUAGCCGGCCUGAGAGGGCGACCGGCCACACUGGGACUGAGACACGGCCCAGACUCCUACGGGAGGCAGCAGUGGGGAAUCUUGCGCAAUGGGCGAAAGCCUGACGCAGCGACGCCGCGUGAGGGAUGACGGCCU
rnacentral:rRNA from 1 species